rnacentral:lncRNA from 1 species
GAUGGCUAGGUAGUACCUCGGAAUGACACCUUUCGGUAUUUGGGGUCAAUGUUGCAGGAGGAUGGGGGUAUUGAUAAAGAUGUGAACCAUCGAAUCAAAGCCAGAUGGAUGAAGUGGCGCCAAGCUUCUGGCAUUCUCUAUGACAAGAGAGUGCCACAAAGGCUAAAAGGAAAGUUCUACAGGACGGCGGUUCGACCCGCAAUGUUGUAUGGCGUUGAGUGUUGGCCGGCUAAAAGGAGACAUGUUCAACAGUUAGGUGUGGCGGAGAUGCGUAUGUUGAGAUGGAUAUGUGGCCACACGAGGAAGGAUCGAGUCCGGAAUGAUGAUAUAUGAGAUAGAGUUGGGGUAGCACCAAUUGAAGAGAAGCUUGUCCAACAUCGUCUGAGAUGGUUUGGGCAUAUUCAGCGCAGGCCUCCAGAAGCUCAAGUCUAUAGCAGAUGGCUAAAGCGUGCGGAGAAUGUCAAGAGAGGGCGGGGUAGACUGAAUUUAACAUGGGAGGAAUCCGUUAAGAGAGACCUGGAGGAUUGGAGUAUCACCAAAGAGCUAGCUAUGGACAGGGGUGUGUGGAAGCUUGCUAUCCAUGUGCCAGAGCCAUGAGCUGGUUGCGAGAUUUUAUGGGUUUCACCUCUAGCCUAUCCCAACUUGUUUGGGACUAAAGGCUUUGUUGCUGUUGUUGUUGUUCCGCGACAGGCAUGGCAGUGCCUCUUGGAAAUGAAAAAAAAACUUUGUCCUUCUGCGAGAAACAUGGUUUCCCUUCCGCGGGCCGUGCCUCUCGGAAACAGAAAAAUGCGUUUUUCUACUUUUUGUCUUCCACGAGAUGCAUGGUUUUUUCGUCCGAUUUUUCUCAAGAAUUUUUUCUGUUAAAACCUAUCAACGUGGGAUCUAAUUUUUAAAGAUCUUGACGCGAGAAAUCCAACGAUGAAAAUGGUUCGAGAUUUGCACGCAUAGUUUAAAAGAUAAAACGUUUUGAAUAAACAGAUAUACGAAAAAGAGAAAACUCACUGGUUGCGACAAGUGACGCACGUGGGGCGGAGUGGCCUUUAGAAUGAGUACUCCUUAGUUAGUGCCAAAAUCAGCACUGCAUUGCACCUAUGUCUCACUUGUAGCGAAAUGUAGGGCAGACUCGCCCGGGCGAGCGCGGGACUGGGCAGGCCCAACGCACGGGUGGCCGAAGCCAAUUUUUUUUCCUUUUUUCACAUUUUAUGUUCCCCUUUUUGCUUUCUUUUAUUAAUAUUUAUAUACCUCAUAUAUUGUAAAUAUAUCAAAAUUAAUAUAAAGUUGUUAAAAAUGUUAAAUGUGAAUGAAAAAAAUGUUUCUCAUGUAUGUCAAAAUGUAUACAAACAAUAUACAAUGUGUGUCAAAAAGUAGAUUAUGUAUUUAAAAAAUGUUAAUUAAGCAUUCGUGAAAUGUUAAUCAUCAACAACAACAACAACAACAACAAUAACAAAGCCUUUAGUCCCAAACAAGUUGGGGUAGGCUAGAGGUGAAACCCAUAAGAUCUCGCAACCAACCCAUGGCUCUGGCACAUGGAUAGCAAGCUUCCACGCACCCCUAUCCAUAGCUAGCUCUUUGGUGAUACUCCAAUCCUUCAGGUCUCUCUUAACGGACUCCUCCCAUGUCAAAUUCGGUCUACCCCGCCCUCUCUUGACAUUCUCCGCACGCUUUAGCCGUCCACUAUGCACCGGAGCUUCUGGAGGCCUGUGCUGAAUAUGCCCAAACCAUCUCAGACGAUGUUGGACAAGCUUCUCUUCAAUUGGUGCUACCCCAACUCUAUCUCGUAUAUCAUCAUUCCUGACUCGAUCCUUCCUCGUGUGGCCACACAUCCAUCUCAAUAUACGCAUCUCCGCCACACCUAACCGUUGAACAUGUCGCCUUUUAGUCGGCCAACACUCAGCGCCAUACAACAUUGCGGGUCGAACCGCCGUCCUGUAGAACUUGCCUUUUAGCUUUUGUGGCACUCUCUUGUCAUAGAGAAUGCCAGAAGCUUGGCGCCACUUCAUCCAUCCGGCUUUGAUUCGAUGGUUCACAUCUUCAUCAAUACCCACAUCCUCCUGCAGCAUUGCCCUCAAAUACCGAAAGGUGUCCUUCUGAGGUACCACCUGGCCAUCAAGGCUAACCUCCUCCUCACACCUAGUAGUACUGAAACCGCACAUCAUAUACUCGGUUUUAGUUCUACUAAGCCUAAACCCUUUCGAUUCCAAGGUUUGUCUCCAUAACUCUAACUUCCUAUUUACCCCCGUCCGACUAUCGUCAACUAGCACCACAUCAUCCGCAAAGAGCACACACCAUGGGAUAUCUCCUUGUAUAUCCCUUGUGACCUCAUCCAUCACCAAUGCAAAAAGAUAAGGGCUCAAAGCUGACCCCUGAUGCAGUCCUAUCUUAAUCGGGAAGUCAUCAGUGUCGAGAUCACUUGUUCGAACACUUGUCACAAUAUUAUCGUACAUGUCCUUGAUGAGGGUAAUGUACUUUGCUGGGACUUUGUGUUUCUCCAAGGCCCACCACAUGACAUUCUGCGGUAUCUUAUCAUAGGCCUUCUCCAAGUCAAUGAACACCAUAUGCAAGUCCUUCUUUUGCUCCCUAUAUCUCUCCAUAAGUUGUCGUACCAAGAAAAUGGCUUCCAUGGUCGACCUCCCAGGCAUGAAACCAAACUGAUUUUUGGUCACGCUUGUCAUUCUUCUUAAGCAGUGCUCAAUGACUCUCUCCCAUAGCUUCAUUGUAUGGCUCAUCAACUUAAUUCCGUGGUAAUUAGUACAACUCUGAACAUCCCCCUUGUUCUUGAAGAUUGGUACUAAUAUACUCCGUCUCCAUUCUUCUGGCAUCUUGUUUGCCCGAAAAAUGAGGUUGAAAAGCUUGGUUAGCCAUACUAUCGCUAUGUCCCCGAGACCUUUCCACACCUCAAUGGGGAUACAAUCAGGGCCCAUCGCCUUGCCUCCUUUCAUCCUUUUCAAAGCCUCCUUGACCUCAGACUCCUGGAUUCGCCGCACAAAACGCAUGCUAGUCUCAUCAAAGGAGUCAUCCAGUUUAAUGGUAGAACUCUCAUUCUCCCCAUUGAACAGCUUGUCGAAGUACUCCCGCCAUCUAUGCUUAAUCUCCUCGUCCUUCACCAAGAGUUGGCCUGCUCCGUCCUUGAUGCAUUUGACUUGGCCAAUAUCCCUUGUCUUCCUCUCUCGGAUCUUGGCCAUCUUAUAGAUGUCCCUGUCACCUUCCUUCGUGCCUAACCGUUGGUAGAGGUCCUCAUAUGCCCGACCCCUUGCUUCACCAACAGCUCGCUUUGCGGUCUUCUUCGCCAUCUUGUACUUCUCUAUGGUGUCUGCACUCCUAUCCAGGUAUAGGCAUUUGAAGCAAUCUUUCUUCUAUUUAAUCGCCUUCUGGACAUCAUCAUUCCACCACCAGGUAUCCUUAUCUUCGUUUCUCCUUCCCCUGGACACUCCAAGCUCCUGCGAGGCCACCUUACGAAUGCAAGUCGCCAUCUUCGUCCACAGAUUGUUUGCAUCUCCUCCUUCCUCCCAGGGGCCCUCCUUAAUGACCCUCUCCUUGAACGCUAGAGCUACCUCCCCCUUGAGCUUCCACCACUUCGUUCUAGCGACUUUGGCACGCUUAUCCCGCUGUACACGAAUCCGAAAGCGGAAGUCAGCAACCACCAGCUUAUGCUGGGGUACAACACUCUCUCCAGGUAUCACCUUACAGUCUAGGCACGCACGCCGAUCUUCUCUUCUCGAGAGGAUGAAAUCAAUCUGACUAGAGUGUUGGCCACUACUAAAAGUCACCGGAUGUGAUUCUCUCUUUCUAAAGAGGGUGUUAGCUACAAUCAUGUUGUAGGCUAGAGCAAAGCUUAAGACAUCUUCUCCUUCUUGAUUCCUGAUGCCAUAGCCAAAGCCCCCGUGCGCCCCUUCAAAACCUGUGAUAGAUGUACCCACGUGGCCAUUGAGGUCUCCUCCUAUGAAGAGCUUCUCACCAAUCGGUACACUCCUAACCAUGUCCUCCAGGCCUUCCCAGAACUCCCUCUUGGUGUUCUCAUUAUGGCCUACUUGCGGGGCAUACACGCUGAUAACAUUGAGAACCAAGUCCUCAACUAUCAGCUUGACCAGGAUAAUCCGGUCCCCACGUCUCUUGACGUCUACCACUCCAUACUUGAGGCUCUUGUUGAUCAAGAUGCCACGCCAUUUCUAUUUGGAGCCGUCCCUGUGUACCACAGCUUGAAGCCGGUAUCCUCCACCUCCUUCGCCUUCUAUCCUCUCCAUUUGGUUUCUUGGACGCAAAGGAUAUCAACACCUCUCCUCACCGCUGCAUCAACUAGCUCUCGAAGCUUCCCUGUCAGAGACCCUACGUUCCAGCUACCUAAACGAAUCCUCCUAGACUCGGCUAGCUUCCUUACCCUUCGCACUCGUCGAGUCAAAUGCGAAGACCCUUGCCCAUUUUCCACUACAUCCGGGCGCCGAUGUAGCGCGCCACUAAGGAUGCGACGACCCGAUCCUCGCUCACUUGCCACCGUAUCCGGAUCAAGAUACAGCGCGCCACCUUGGGAGUGACGGCUCGGCCCUUGCCCAUUUUCCACCACACCCGGGUUCCGAUGUAGCGUGUCGCUGAGAGGGUUACGCCCCAACGAAAAUCUUUUGGGUUUCAUCUCCAUAAGAGUGGCUGAGUUUUUACGUUGGCUCGUCAAGCCUAUCACAACCCUUCUCCUUUACCCGGACUUGGGACCGGCUAUGUUGAGACAACAUAGGCGGAGUUUCUCAUGUGAAAUGUUAAUCAAGUAUUUGAAAAAUGUUAAAUGGGUACAGAAAGAUGUUUCUCAUGUAUACGAAAAAUAUAUGAAACAUGUAUACAAAAAUAUACAAUGUGUAUGAAAAAAUGUUGUUUAUGUAUUUUGGGAAAAUAUUAAAUGUAUAAACCAAACUUCCUGAUUUAUAUGUAAAAUAUACAGCAUACAUUAAAUAAAGGUAGACAUAAAAAAUCCUACCUUUAAAAAAUCAAUUAUAUAUUAAAAAAUGUUAAGAGUGCAUAAAAAUAAGUUUCUAUGGUAUACGACAAAUGUACAGCGUACAUUUCAUAAAGGUAGACAUCCAAAAGCAUAUACUCCGUAUUUAGAUUGUAUUAAAACAUGUAGAUGAAAAAUGUACAUAGUGUGCGAAAACAUGCUUAGUGCCAUUAAUAAAAUUUUCACCAUAUAUUUGAUAAAAUGUUGAUCAUCUAUUAGAAAAGUGUUUUAAAACUUGUAUUUAAGAAAAAAAGUGUUCAGCGUGCUUCUACAAAAAUGUUUCGUGUACACUAAAAAUGUACAUUGUGUACUAAAAUAUAAGCAUGUGGGGAACAAAAAAGUAACAAAAUAUAUCUGAAAAAAAAAACAAAGACAAACAAAAGAUGAAAAAUGAAUUUUAAAAACCAAAAAAUAAAAGAUAAAUAGAAACAAUGAAAACCGAUGCAAAAGAAUGGAACUGUGAAGACCGAAGAGGAAAUAAAGAAAAUGAGAAAGAAACAAAGAAAAUAAAGUAUAUCAAAGAGAGAAAGAAACCACAGAAGGCUGGUGAAAGAAACAAAAGAAAGAAAAAGUAUAACGAAGAAAAAACCAAAGAAACUGGUGAAUAACAUGAAAAAGGAAAUAAAAGGAAAGGAAGAAAGAAAGAAAAAUGAAAAAACCGGAGCGAACCAGCGAAGAGAUCGUGUGCGAGCGAACAUGAAUGCGUGAAUAUGAACUGGCCCAGUACUGUAGUCUGCACUUCUUCAAGCGAGAUAUAGUUCUCGUGCCAUGAACAACGUUCACCAGACAUACACCUCAUGGUCCUCUAUCCCGCUCUUGCACCACUCUCUUAUCCAUCAAUCAAUUCCAAAAGGGUUGAAUGGUGGGCACCAAGCAGAUGCCGGGUAAAAUUGACGACAUGGAAAAAAUUCAGGUUUAUGUACAACAUGUUCUUUCCUUCCUUCAUUCGGUGACGCAUAGAGGUGGCACAGUCUUGUUCCUGGAGCCGCUCACAACUUUUGGGAGCACCGAGAUCCUGAAUAAUAUGUUAGAGGCCAGUCCGCGUCAAGAAUAGCUCACACCAUGACACGGAACAUGACAUGCUUUACGUUGCCACUAUUUUUACUUUUCCACUGUUUCUGUAUAAGAGAAAAAGGUUGACCCUGUGCAAAAGAAAAAAUGUUUUGUGUUUUAAAUACAUGAUGAAAUGCAUGGUACUCAACAGAUGACGUGAAGUAUAUGAUUGGAUUAGGCCAACUCCAACCGUCGAUCCCAAACAGUGCGCCCAACCGGCCUGCCCAUCCCAAACUUUUCAUUUUUUUUUUACUUGCAAAUUUGACGCAAAACAAACUCAAACAAACAUUGCACAUAAUUUAAAAACAUUAAUAUAAACAUAAACGUUCACAAAUGUCCAGUCCACCACACUCUUAACAAAACAUAAAAUUUAAAUGAAAAUAAAAAAGCUAGAUAAGCCCGUCGCCCCCACGGCCGCUGUCGUGUUCAGUUGCCGCCGCCAUCGUCCUCGUCGCCAAUGAGGUCGAUGUAGGACGACGGCGUUCCAAGGUGGGCAGGCGGCCCCUACCAAGCGUGAGGCGACUACGGAUGCACGACCUCUAGCCGUGGCGGAGACGGUGACCUCCACCACCUCCUCCAUGGCCUCCACCACCACAUCCUCCAUGGCCUCCUCCUUGACUACAGCGUCGAGCUCUGGGAUGCGACGUCGCCGGUCGCGGAGAGGGUUGUCAUUUCUUCGAGGCCCUGCCACCGGGCCUCGUCGUGGGUGUGGACGGAGUCCUCCAGCACCCGCCUAACUAGCUCUUCCUCCUCCUCGGCGAUCAUCAGAGCGGGUGGUGGCGGGGGAUAACGACGGGGAAGGCGGGGGAUAACGACGGGGAAGGCGGGGGUGUCAUACCACGAACUAGCCUACACCCGCGUGGCUGGGGUGGGCUGGGAGCGGGCAGUGGGCUCGGAGCACGAGCAUAAAAGAAAAAAUUGCCAGCGAAGGUCAUGCUCGUCGCGAAGCCAUGUAUCCCACAACGGGGAAUCCACGACGUACCUCUCGUUGUGGACGAGGUCUAAGGGCAGGCGGGAGUGGCGACGGUCGAUCUCCUCGUGGCAGGUGCAGCCGCUCACCGGGACCACUGGAAUGGGCACCCGAUCCGCGGAGAGGUGCAAGUUAUUGGGGAGGUUCACGUCUCUCCACGGCAACAGUGUGUCGUCUCCCAAUACCACUUGCAUAUCUCCGCCUUAACGUAUGACCGCAUACGAGGUGCGGUCGCCAGCGGCGUAAUGUGGAAUGCGCGAGGUGGAGGUAGUGGAAGAGGAGGAGGGGUGGAGCGGCAACGACGGCUGGAGGACGGCCCAGCCUCAUGGUCAUGCCUUCCCCUGCGGCCGGGGAUCCACUCCCACAUCAUUGCCGUCGGCGAGGGAGGUGCAGGAGAGGAGGUGGAAGAGCGUCGAGCUAGGGUUUGGGUGUCGGGGCACAAGGAGGCACGCGUCGAUGAAAGUGGAAGCCUUUGGACUGGCCGGUCCACGGCUUCCGCAUUAAAAAGGACGGCUACCGGGUGGAUGGGUGGCUGGCAAGGGGUCCGUCCACUCAUACGCAGUUAAUUUGGGUGGUGGGAGGUAGGUGGGUGGCCGACAGGCAGGCCCAAGGUGGCAAGGAGCGGGUGCGUGGGCGCCCGUUCCCUGUCCGCCUGGACACAAGCCGGGCCCAUGUUGUGCGCCGAAAAUAGGUUGAGUCGGACGUCAAACCGACGUUUUUGCUGAUGGGGUCACGCGUUUGGUUGUCGCUUCUGUGCGUGGGCUAAAACGCACACGGACGGACAUGAUGGGUCUAGCGUAGGAGUUGGACUUACUAUGUAAACCUUAGCCGGGGCCAAAAGUAAUCAAAGCUACGCGCGCUGUGUGUAGCGCUAUCUAUCGCAAACGUCUGAUUCAGGCAUUAAUAUAAAUACGCACACCGUAAAUGUUGGCUUGGUGAGGGGAGGGGACUUGAAAACGAUGGAGAGGGGAUGCCCCCUCCCUUCGUAGGUCGUCAAUCCACUGUCUAGGCCAAGAUGCCUCCUCUGCAUAUAUUUUUUUUCUUCUUCGAUUGAGCCGCAGGGUAAAAAGUAAGCGCACAAAAAUAAAUUAUUGUUUUCUUUAUAAGCAACGCUCCGAGCAGGUCGAUUGUGACUACAUAGUGCAUGUUGCGUUGGGCCUCUUCUGGGCCUCAAAAUACCAACUAAAUAAAUUGGCGAUUUCUAUUAACAUUAAAUAUUACCACAUCACCCACUUAGAACAACCACGUCCAAUUUAUAUGCAUCUUCAAGUUACCUAUUAUUGAUAUACUCAAUAAGUCAUCAUAAACAGUACCACCUCGCCUCUUAUAACCAAGACAGCCAAUUUAUAUAUGUCAACAGAUGGAAUAACUGGACGCAUGAGAUGGGUAACAAUGUCUCCCGUUGCAACGCAUAGACAUUUAUAUAUUUUAUGAACUACUAGCAAAAGGGCCUAUACGUUGCAACAGAAGAAAAAAUAUCAUAAUCUCCAAUGGCCAUGACAACAUUUUGCUGCAUCACCGAGAUACACUAUCACUCUCAAUUUCAUGAAAUCAUUAACAAUUUUCGAAGUCAUGAACACAUUUUAAACUCAUGCACAUAUUCGAAAUUGUGAACACUUUUACAAAUUUUUGAAUAUUCUCUGAAAUCAUGAACAUUUUUGAAUUUCUGAACAUUCUAACUGUUUGCAAACAUUAUUUUAAAAUUGUAAACAUUUUGAAAACAAUUUUCUUGGAUCGCCGAACAUUUCUAGAAUCGACAAACAUUUUUUUGAAAUUGGUGGAACAAUUUUUGAAAUUUACUUACAUUGUUUUUAUUUUACGAACAUUUUUUUAUUUGACGAACUUUUUCUGAAACGCAUGAUAAUUUUUUGAAUCAAUGAACAUUUUAUGAAUUAAUAAACUAUUCUAUAGGUCACGAUUGUUUUUUUGGAGCAGUUUCUGAAUUUUUAGGAUAUUUUUAUAACAUUUUACGAAUUUCCAAAAAAACAAUUGUUCAAUUUCAUUAACAUUUUUAAUUCACAGACAUUUUUAAAAAUCAUGAACAUUUUUUUAUUUCCUGAACGUUUGUUUUCGAAAUGUCGAACUUUUUUUGAAUAAGCAAACAUUUUGUUUACAAAAUCGCUAACAUUUUUUUAAUCCACAAACAUUUUAUAAUUUAGUAAAUAUUUUAUUUAAAAAUUCAACUUUUUUACAAAAUUGCGAACUUUUUGAAGUCCCAAAUUAUUUAAAGUAUAAAAAUAAAAUAAAAAUAAAAAUAAAAAAGGGAAUGUAAAUAACAGCCGCCUGGAUAUUGGCCGGGCCAAACGGGCGCGCUGAGUCUUCUCUCAACGCGCAGACCAGAGUAUAGGAUGUCCCUACUGUAUGGGCCGGCCCAGACGGGGAUUCCCCUGUAUGAAAUGUUUUUAAUCACUUAUAGGUAAUGUUUGUGGUGGAUCUCAAAAAAAAAAGGUAAUGUUUGUGGUAAUAUAUUACAACUUUAGGGGCAAUUUCCGUGUCGUACCGCCAGAAACAAUAGCCCCGAUAUUAUUAGAUAUAAAUAUAUAGAUAUCUAGAAUACAAGUGAACUAAAAGAAACAAAAGAAAAGCCAGAAAACCAGGAGAGGUCCAAAUCAGCGCCUUCAACGCUAGUUGGCCGAGUUGCGCUCCCAUGCAGGCGUAGCAGGCUGCGGCCCAACUUGAUACUUCCCUCGGAUGCACUCGCUUGCCACGCUUACGAUUUAGUUGCUGGUUUCUAGAAAAAAAACCGACCAUCUUGUUUUCUAUGUAUUAAACAGAUUCAUAAAAUCAUUUUUUUCCAUAGAUUUAAAGAAAGUUCACAAAUUUAAAAUAUUUUCAUGAAUUUGAUUUUUUGUGACUAUAAAAUUAUUCCUUUGUGAAUUUGAAAAUUUUCACGGGUUUGAAAAAAGUUCAUGGGUUUGAAAAAAGUUCAUGGGUUUGAAAAAGUUUUAUGAAUUUGAUAUUCAUUGGUUUGCAAAAAAGUUCAACAAUUUGAAGAAUAACAAAAUUGGUAAAACAAAGAAGGAACGGAGAAAAAUCAAAAAUUAAAAAUAUAAAAAGAUAAAAAAAGGAAGGCCAAACUGAGAACAUCUAAAAGCUUCCAAAAUCAUUAUGCACCACCUCCCGCAAAACCGGCAUGCGUAAUAGCCCCUAUAGGGCGCUGCUGAACUCAAUUGGCGCCCACUGCAGCGCCCUGGCGGGCCGGCCGAGUACCGCGCUGCGCCAGUGAAAAAUAGAGUAACAAAAAUUGCUGCAUCAAGGAUUAGAAUUCGCGUCGUGGCAUUGCCGCACGAGCAGGCUAACCAGUAGAGCUACGAGGUAGACCAAACCUACAGUGCUGCAGAAUGCAAAAGAAACAAUUGAUGCCGCACUACUCUAGAAAAAGAAAAGCUCAUAAACAAUAAGAAAGAAGUUCACGAGUUUGUUAAAAAAAUAAAAGGUUCACGUAAACAAAAAAGUUCACGUAAAAACUGAAAAACAUUCACUCAUUUGAGGAAAAGUUCACAGAGUUGAAAGUUCAUGGAAUUUUAAAAAGGUCACCGAUUUAAGAAAAGGUCACGGAUUUGAAAAAGUUCAUGAAAUACAAAAUAGUUCAAGGAAAUUGAAAAGAGUUCAUCGAAUUUUAAAAAAGUUAACCGAAUUUGAAAAAUAAUGUCAUUGAAUUUGAAAAGGUUCAUCGAAGCUUUUUUUAAAAUGUUCAUUGAAUUUGAAAAAAGUUCAUCGAUUUUUUUAAAAUCAUAAAAUCUAAAAAAAGUUCGUCUAUUUUAAGAAAAACUUCAUCGAAUACUAAAAAAGUUCAUCAAAUUUGAACAAAAACUAAGAAAUUUAAAAAGAAAAUAAUAAAAAUAAAACCGCACCUAAACCAAAUCGCAAACCGGGAAAAACUAGUGUGGGAAGCUUCUAGAAGCUUCCCAAAUCCGGGGCUUUCGCAAACGUGACGAACGUCACUAAAAGGAGAAAAAGGACACAUCUAUAGACUCGCGGUGGCGUGGCCUUGUGGUUUGAGCGAUCGCCUCGCAACCAACCGUUCGCUAGUUCGAACCCUGGUUCCAUUAACUUUUUGUGUUCUGAAAACAUAGAGAAAAAUACCUCAGGCAUCCCCUACAUGGGCCGGCCCAGCACGGGGCGCUGCAGGCGCCGGUUUGCUAAAAUGCACACAAAUGGGCGCUUGCAGCGCUAAAUAGGAAAUGCCUGUGCACUAUAUAUAGUAGACACGAUGCGAAAAGCGAAGAAAAAAAUUAAAUGAUCCAAGCCUAGGACAAGGUGGGGCAGGGGAUGUAGCCUUGUAGGCCAACAAAUGGUAAUAAUGGGCGCGUAAGGCCCUACAUAGAAAGUGGUCAUUUCUAGUACCAUAAUAACUUGUGUGCUAUGUAUUGCCUGGACAAUAGAGCCAAAAAUAUAAAAGACACCGCACCACAAACAAUGCUCACCACACAGACACCAUGCUAGAGCCCAGUCACCAAGCCGUACCCGUCAACUAUAAGUCGUAUGUGGUGAUUUUGUCAAUCUCAAAAUAUUGUUCCAUAUCAGUAUCUCAAACAUGGUCAUAGGGUGUUCGUGUGUGCAGUCACAAGGACAAGUGUAUUUGAUUUCAAAAUUCUCAAUUUUUUAAAAAAUUGAAACUUUUGAAGUCCCAAAUUAUUUAAAGUACAAAAAUGGAAAGUAAAAGAAAAAUAAAAACUAAAAAUAAAGAAAAAAAUUUAAAAUAACAGGCCGCCCGGACAUUGCCGGGCCAAACGGGUGUGCUGCGUUUCCUCUCAACGUGCGGAGCUUAGGCCGGCCAAUGAAAAUUUAAAAAACAUUUCAUACCAGGGAAUCCCUACUGCUUGGGCCGGCCCAGGCAGGGAUUCCCCUGUAUGAAACGUUUUUUUAUCACUUAUAGGUGACGUUGGUAGGUAAUAUUUUGCAACUUUAGGGUCAAUUUUCGUGUCGUACCGUCAGAAACAAAAGCCCAUUAUUACUAGGUAUAGAUUUAAAGAUAGUUCACAAUUUUUUUCAUGAAUUUCAUUUUUUUUCACGACCAUAAAAUUGUUCGACUGUGAUUUUGAAUAAUUUCACGGGACAUAAAAAAGUUCUUGGAUUUGAUAUAAGUUCACGUACUUCAAAAAAGUUCAUCGCGUUUGAAAAAAAGUUUAAAAUUUUGAAAAAUGACAAAAUUGAUAAAACAAAGAAGGAAAGGAGGAAAAAAAACAAAAAGUAAAAAUAUAAAAGGAUAAAUAAGGGGAAAUAAGGCCAAACUAACAAGCAUCUAGAGGCUUCUAGAAUCAUUUAUGGGCUAGCGCUCGCGAAACCAGCAUGCGCACUAUGUAGAGUAGACAUGUUGCGAACGCAAAGGAAAAAAAAUGGACCAAGCCCAGGACGGGGGGUGUAGCCUUGUAGGCCAACAAAUAGUAAUAAUUGGCGCGUAAAUCGAUACAUAGAAAAUGGACGUUUUCAGUACCGUAAUAACUUGUGUGCUAUAUAUUGCCUAGAAAAUAGAGGCAAAAAUAAAAACGACACCCCACCACAAACGACGUCCACCGCACAUACACCAUGCUACAGCCCAGUCGCCAAGAUCGUGUCGUACCGGUUAACUACGAGGCGUCUGUGGUGAUUUCAUCAAUUUUAAAAUAUUGUUCUGUAUCAAUAUCUCAGACAUGAUCAUAGAGUGUUCGUGGAUGCGUUCAUAAGGACAAGUGUAUGUGGGUAGUUGCGAUUGUACCAUGUUAGAAAAAAGUUAACGCCAAAACCAUGCCAGACAGGACCUGCUUUACUAUGCCGCUAUUUUUCCUUUUGCAUUGUUUCCCUGGAAAAAAAGAUGUAAUAAAAUGCAUGCUGCUCAGUGAAGUAUAUUAUCGAUUAAUGAGUAAACCGAUCCAGGGCCAAAAGUAAUCAAAGAUACGUGUGCCACGUGUAGAGCUAUCCAUAGCAAACAUGUUAGGCUAGUCAUGGUGGGAGUAACUUAGGUAGUAACAUAAUACACUUCAAAUUUUUUUUGCUUAUGUGGCAUGUAGUUAAUGAGUAGAGAGGUAUUUAGAGUAACAUAAUAUGUUACUGUAACAUAGCGCUUCCCGAGAAAGGAUGAGUCUACAAGCUAAUAAAUAAACACAUCUAUGACACUACUAUUAUGUUACUUUGCACUAUGGAGAUAGUAACUUAGACUAGUGUCAUGCAUAUGACACUAGUCUAAGUUACUCCCCACUAUGACCAGCCUUAUUAAGGCAUUAAUAUGAUGUACAGACUCCAAAUUGUUAAGCUGGUCAUAGUGGGGCUAACUUAGGUAGUAACCUAACACACCCCAAGGCAAUUUUACUUAUGUGACAAGUAUUUAAUGAGGAAAGAGGUGUUUGGAGUAACAUAAUAUGUUACUGUAACAUAGCGCUUUCCGAGGUAAAAUAUGUCUAUAGGCUAAUAAAUGAAGUUAUCUAUGACACCACUCCUACUCGCUCCUUCCAUCUAUAUAGGGCCUAAUGCAUUUUUCGAGGUUAACUUUGACCAAAUAUUAAAACAAUAAUAUAUGACAUGCAACUUACACAAAGCACAUCGUUAAAUUCGUGUGUGAAAGGAGCUUUCAAUGGUAUAAUUUUCACAUUGUGCAUGUCAUGUACUAUUAAUCUUGCUAAUAGUCAAAGACGGUCUUAAAAAAUAUAUUAUGCCCUAUAUAGAUGGAAGGAGGGAGUAUAAUACUUUGCACUAUGAAGGUAGUAACUUAGACUAGUGUCAUAUGCAUGACACUAGUAUAAGUUACUCCCCACUAUGACCAGCCUUAGAAAGGAUAGAGAGAGAUUGAUGGAAUCGUUGUUUAUUGGUUGAGUCUCGUGAGCAUAUAUAUAGAAGUACAUGAUCAACUUGGAGUACAAGGCAAGCUAGAACAAAUCCUAAUAUAUUUCGUAUUCCUAACUAACCAUAAUACUCAACAUCCCCCGUGGUCACAACGGUAGUGACGCAGGCGAUGAGACUGGAGAAGAAUCCGAAGGUAAGCUGACGGACAUCCCCCACAGUCGUAGCGGUCGAUGCAUCGCGAAAAUUAUGGUUGGAGUGGAAAUCGACGAGGUUGCUCAAAUAAGAUGGUAGCCCUUUGUGCCGACGUCAAUGUAGCCGAGAGCGUAGGGUGGUGUAGCCGUGGUCGAGGUUGCCAUGCAAAGAAUAUCGUGGUCGAUGUCGAGUCGGGGUAGCUGGUGUCAAGAAAGUUGCCAUGGAGCCGCGGGCGCAAGGAGGCGCCGAGUUAGUCAUGGGUGCAGUGGUGUCGAAGUACUGGUGCGCCGGAAGAAGACGUUGUUGACGAGGCGUCGCGCCGGCUUUGCCAAACCCGGGGACACAUCAUAGACGAAGGCACGCGUCGGUGUUGACAGCACCAGGCAUGCUUAGACGGACGAAAACGAAGUUGAAAAAAUGCCGUACCAGGCAUGCCAGGCUCGGGGACACGUCACGGACGAAGGCACACAUCGAUGGUGCUAGCACCGAGCAUGCGUAGACGAGGGACCUGUACGAGUUGUACGCCAUGUCGAGGAGUCGACGGGGCUAGCAGAGAAGGAGACUUGAUAUGUUUGUGGCGCCAAUCGGCAUGGGAACGAUGUCACCAACGGUGGUCCGAGUGGACGAAGUGGUGGGGGAAGAUGACGGUGACACUCGCGGCGAGCUGUUGCUGGACGAAGACGAAGGGGGUGGACGGGCGGCAGCGGCUACAGGACUAGCGGCGGCGGCGGUGCUCAAAGUAGGCGAGGAAACCGACAAUGUGCAGAAGACCGGCUCGGACGGUGGCGUUCCCGGGCCAAGGGAGGCGGCGCGACGCAUACCACUAGAAGUCGAUGCGUGAGGACGGCGGAGUGGACUGCGGGUCGCGGUGCGACGGCCCGAAGGGGCGACACAGCGGCGGCCUGAUGGCGGCAGUGCUCGAAGUAGGCGAGGAAACCAACAACGUUAGGAAGACCGGCUUGGACGGUGGCGUUUCCGGACCAAGGGAGACGGCGCGACGCAUACCACUAGAAGUCGAUGCAUGGGGACAACAGAGCGGACCGCGGGGGCCGCGGGGCGACGGCUCGAAGGGGCGAUGUAGCGGCGGCAUGCAGGUCAGGACGACAGUGGGAAGACCUCUGGGCGGUGGUGUGAACCGUAGACCGUGGCGCUGGGGCGGCGCAGUGGCGAAGCGCGGGUCGGUGCAACCGCGGGAAGGACCUCGGGUGGCGCCGUGGAUAGCGUGUCGCAGCACUACAACCCAAAGGGGUGACGCAGCGGCGACGCGCGAGUCGGUGCAGCUGCAAGGAAAACCACGGGGCGGCAACGCUGCGGCCCGACGAGGCGACACAUAGGCAUACCGUUGCUCGAUCGAGGGUGGGGCGCGCUGAAUUCAGGGACGGUUUUCACAGGACCCGCAGAGACGCGCACAAGUAACUAGCUAGAUCGGUCGCACGGUGCGGAUGAAGCGGAGUGGCGACCAGAUAAUCAAUCUGGCCGCUCGCGAGAUUGGGGUCAUCGGUCGGUGAUGAGGCGGCCGAGCCACUGAGGGCACGCGUGGGGGACGCGCGAAUAGCCGGUGCGUGCACGCGGCCCAUGCCCGAGAGGGGUGCAAGCGGCGCCGCACAACACAGCCGGUACACGCAUCGUGUGGGGCGCGGUGCCAAGGCCAGUGGACAGAUGCAGCUGACCGGGGUGGACGUGAGGUGAUGCAGGAUCCUGAUCAGAUGAGGGCAAUGACGAUUGGCACAGAGCGACGGGCGGGCAGACGCACGAACAACGGUCGAGAUGGGCCACCGCUUCGCGUGUGGCCGCCGGGUCGAUGGGGAGGCCGAGUUGUCGCGUCGGUGUCGAAAUAGAGGCGCACUGGUGUCGAUGGCGGCGGCGGGUGAUCCAAAUUGAUCUUAGAUCGAAAAAACAAAAAGAAACACCGAUUAAGAUGACCGACAAGAAAAAAAACCUCGAUUAAGAGAUCGGAAAAAAGACUAUGUAGACAACCGAUCAACACGAGUGGGCGAUGGACGGCGGCUAGGAUUGAAUCAGUUAAGUUGAUACCAUGUUAAAAAAGAUAGCGAGGAAAUGGUAGAAUAGUUGUUUAUUGUUUGAGCAUCAUAGGCAUAUGUAGGAGUACAUGUUUAAUUUAAAGGGCAAAAUAAACGAGAACAAAUUCUAGUCUAUCUCGUAUUUUCUAAUCGAUCAUAAUACUCAACCCAAAUGUUGGCUCAAAGGGGAGGAGAGGGGACUCGAAAACGACGGCCCGGUUGUAUGUAGAGUAGUAAUGUAGUGCUACGUCUACGUGUAUCAUGUCAUAUAGCUGAGGCUGUCGUAGCUAGCGUAGUGGCGUAGCAGCAGCGAGUGACGCAAGGCAACGGCAGGAGGGCCUGGGCAAUGCUGCACGCUGCAUGCUGAUGCCGGGUAAAGGGCGAUGGACUUUGCUUUGCGUAUGAAUGAGUCGCCAGGCCAGUUUGCCUUUGCCAUCCUACGCGUAUGCAUGCAUGCAUGCAUGCGUGACGACCGACGGGAGUGGUAUGCUAUGCUAUACUGGGAGCUCCUUCUCCGUCUCUUUCGACACCCCAGCGACGUGCCGGCCCUAUUCACGGAAACUCGUCCUCAUCACGCCAUGCCAUGCCUACAUCCACUGCGCCAACUUUUUCUUUCGCCUUGCCUGUGCUGUGCACCAUGACUUCCCAUAUUUCAAAGCCAGCGUUACCAUACCACCUCCUUUUUUUUAUUUGCCGGACUUACCACUUUGCUUUGACCGGCACAUAUUUACAUACUUGUGUGUAUGAGUGUAUCACGACCAACAGUACUAAUGUUCUAGUAUAGUUUUUCUAGCAUGUCAAUGUUUUUUUUCCUUCGUUUUUUUUUCGGGGAGAUUUUUCUACGUGUGAAAGCAUCAUGACGCGUAGCAAAUAACCGUGCCUAAAAUAUCGCUUGUAUUACGACUAGUGCAGAUGAGUUCAUUGUGGAUCGUCACACGAACCGUGCUUGCUUGCCAGCGGCAUCUAGUCUUAGCUAACCUCAGAUUCUUACCGGCCAUGAGCAACAAAAAAGUAAAAAUGUGCUAAAAACUAGCCGGUACAGUGAGGUUAAAGCAUCUCACGGCAACCGCUUCAUGCAUGCAUGCUAUGCUACAUCACGCCUUUGAACCAAGCCCUCCAAAAAAAAGGCAAGUCACGUUUCAUGCGGCUCUGAUCUGCUGCUGCAUGCGUCUGGCAUCUGCGACUGCGUGCGUACGUACCGGUCCUCUACUACGGACAGUCGCGUGCAUCACCUUCUGUGGACGCAUCUUCCCACUUUCCAUCAAUUCAAAAUUCAAUUUUCCACCAACAAAAUGCUACGUACUACACCUUCAACUAUUAUACUCUUAUUAGGAUUAUUUUUCCUCUACUAGGAGUAGUACAAGUAUGCAUGCGAAUGCGAUGCAUGUACCCAUCAAAACGUCCAAUUGAGUAGUAGCAGUAUACACGAACAUUUUUCGAAAAGUAUAUACACGAACAUGGAUAGAGAUGAUAGUAUGUAUGGUUUACGGUGGACAGAUACUUGAUUUAUCUCAGGAUAAUAAUAACGCCAUGUGCAUGCUAGCUUGCUAGGCUUCAUUGCAUUGCAUUACAUUGUUGGUCUGAUCUCAUCUGAUGGCUAAGUAUCCUUCCACUCCACUCUGACUCUGUAACGAACUAGUACGUGCUAGAUAACCAUCACCUAAAAAAACAAAACACAAACACACGCAACUGACAAGGCUAAUUAAGCUUUCCUUGUUAAUUAUAUCUACAUCUCACUAGCCAGUGAAGCUCAACACACCAUGCAUUGCACGCACGCGUCCAUCCAUCGCACAGCCACAGGCACAGGCACGGCACAUGAAAAGAAAAGAAAAGAAAAGAAAAGACGACCAACACACAAAGUAAACGCCGUCGUUGAUCACCACCAUCAUCAGUUCCGGCCGGCCGGCGAGACAGCAAAGCAAUGCGGCU